UACGUAGGUGGCAAGCGUUGUUCGGAAUUAUUGGGCGUAAAGGGCGCGUAGGCGGCUUGUUAAGUCGGCUGUGAAAGCCCUGGGCUCAACCUGGGAACUGCAUCCAAAACUACUGAGCUAGAGUACGGUAGAGGGUAGUGGAAUUUCCUGUGUAGCGGUGAAAUGCGUAGAUAUAGGAAGGAACACCAGUGGCGAAGGCGACUACCUGGACUGAUACUGACACUGAGGUGCGAAAGCGUGGGGAGCAAACAGG
rnacentral:rRNA from 1 species